rnacentral:misc_RNA from 1 species
GAAAUGCGAUAAGUAAUGUGAAUUGCAGAAUUCAGUGAAUCAUCGAAUCUUUGAACGCACAUUGCGCCCGCCAGUAUUCUGGCGGGCAUGCCUGUCCGAGCGUCAUUUCAACCAUCAAGCCCCCGGGCUUGUGUUGGGGACCUGCGGCUGCCCGCAGGCCCUGAAAACCAGUGGCGGGCUCGCUGUCACACCGAGCGUAGUAGCAAUCACCUCGCUCAGGGCGUGCUGCGGGUUCCGGCCGUUAAACAGCCUUACAAAACCCAAGGUUGACCUCAGAUCAGGUAGGAAGACCCGCUGAACUUAAGC